AAGAGUGCGUAAUAGCUCACUGGUCGAGAGACGCUGCGCCGAAAAUGUCCGGGGCUCAAGCACGGAACCGAAGCUAUGGCAUGAUAGCAAUAUCAUGGGUAGGGGAGCGUUCUUAUAAGGAAGAAGCAUGACCGGAAGGACAUGUGGACGAAUAAGAAGUGAGAAUGCCGGUAUGAGUAUCGAAAAGAAAGGUGAGAAUCCUUUCCACCGAAAGCCCGAGGGUUCCUGAGCAACGAUCGUCGACUCAGGGUAAGUCGGGACCUAAGCCGAGGCGAGAAGCGUAGGCGAUGGACAACAGGUUGAAAUUCCUGUACCGGAUCAAGUCGAUUGAGCGAAGGAGCGACGCAGGAGGGCACAUGAUCGCGCGGCUGGAAGAGCGCGUCCAAGUGCGUAUGUUGCAGCAGAGGAAAACCCCUGCAGCUGAAAGCAGAGACAUGAUGGGGAGUUAAAGGAAACUUUGACGAACUCAUGGAUCCCACACUGCCAAGAAAAACUUCUAGCGAGACAAGAUCCGCCCGUACCGUAAACCGACACAGGUAGGCGGGGAGAGAAUCCUAAGGUGCGCGGGAAAACCCUCGUUAAGGAACUCGGCAAAUUGCAUCCGUAACCUAGGGAGAAGGAUGGCCCCCGGUCAGUGAAGAGCAGAAACGCUCAGAGCUAAAAGGGGCGGCAGAAAAGAGGCCCAAGCAACUGUUUACCAAAAACACAGGUGCCUGCGAAAGCGAAAGCUGAAGUAUAGGUGCUGACGCCUGCCCGGUGCCGGAAGGUUAAGGAGAGAAGUUAGCGAAAGCGAAGCAUCGAACUGAAGCCCCGGUGAACGGCGGCCGUAACUAUAACGGUCCUAAGGUAGCGAAAUUCCUUGUCGGGUAAGUUCCGACCCGCAUGAAAGGCGUAAUGAUUUGGGCACUGUCUCAACGAGGGGCCCGGUGAAAUUGAAAUACCUGUGAAGAUGCAGGUUACCCGCGACUGGACAGAAAGACCCCAUGGAGCUUCACUGCAGCUUGAGAUUGAAUCCCGGUGACAGAUGCACAGGAUAGGUGGGAGGCGCCGAAGCAUUGCCCUAGGGCGGUGCGGAGCCGAUGUUGGGAUACCACCCUUCUGUUGCUGAGAUUCUAACGCGAGGAGUAACGACCCUGCGGACCCUCUCAGGCAGGCGGUUUGACUGGGGCGGUCGCCUCCGAAAGAGUAACGGAGGCGCC
rnacentral:rRNA from 1 species